AAGGAGCCUGCGGCAUGCUUUAACAUGCAAGUCGAACGGUAACAGGUCUUCGGAUGCUGACGAGUGGCGAACGGGUGAGUAAUACAUCGGAACGUGCCUAGUAGUGGGGGAUAACUACUCGAAAGAGUAGCUAAUACCGCAUGAGAUCUACGGAUGAAAGCAGGGGACCUUCGGGCCUUGUGCUACUAGAGCGGCUGAUGGCAGAUUAGGUAGUUGGUGGGGUAAAGGCUUACCAAGCCUGCGAUCUGUAGCUGGUCUGAGAGGACGACCAGCCACACUGGGACUGAGACACGGCCCAGACUCCUACGGGAGGCAGCAGUGGGGAAUUUUGGACAAUGGGCGAAAGCCUGAUCCAGCAAUGCCGCGUGCAGGAUGAAGGCCCUCGGGUUGUAAACUGCUUUUGUACGGAACGAAAAGCCUGGGGCUAAUAUCCCCGGGUCAUGACGGUACCGUAAGAAUAAGCACCGGCUAACUACGUGCCAGCAGCCGCGGUAAUACGUAGGGUGCAAGCGUUAAUCGGAAUUACUGGGCGUAAAGCGUGCGCAGGCGGUUUUGUAAGACAGUGGUGAAAUCCCCGGGCUCAGCCUGGGAACUGCCAUUGUGACUGCAAGGCUAGAGUGCGGCAGAGGGGGAUGGAAUUCCGCGUGUAGCAGUGAAAUGCGUAGAUAUGCGGAGGAACACCGAUGGCGAAGGCAAUCCCCUGGGCCUGCACUGACGCUCAUGCACGAAAGCGUGGGGAGCAAACAGGAUUAGAUACCCUGAUAGUCCAC
rnacentral:rRNA from 1 species